AUCUGCCUAGUAGAGGGGGACAACAUGUGGAAACGCAUGCUAAUACCGCAUACGCCCUGAGGGGGAAAGGAGGGGAUCACUUGUGACCUUCCGCUAUUAGAUGAGCCUGCGUGAGAUUAGCUAGUUGGUAGGGUAAAGGCCUACCAAGGCGACGAUCUCUAACUGGUCUGAGAGGAUGACCAGUCACACUGGGACUGAGACACGGCCCAGACUCCUACGGGAGGCAGCAGUGGGGAAUAUUGGACAAUGGGCGCAAGCCUGAUCCAGCCAUGCCGCGUGUGUGAAGAAGGCCUUAGGGUUGUAAAGCACUUUCAGGAGUGAGGAAGGGCAUUUGGUUAAUACCCAAAUGUUUUGACGUUAGCUCCAGAAGAAGCACCGGCUAACUCUGUGCCAGCAGCCGCGGUAAUACAGAGGGUGCAAGCGUUAAUCGGAAUUACUGGGCGUAAAGCGCGCGUAGGUGGUUUGUUAAGUCGGAUGUGAAAGCCCAGGGCUCAACCUUGGAAUGGCACCCGAUACUGGCAGGCUAGAGUAUGGUAGAGGGGUGUGGAAUUUCCUGUGUAGCGGUGAAAUGCGUAGAUAUAGGAAGGAACAUCAGUGGCGAAGGCGACACCCUGGACUAAUACUGACACUGAGGUGCGAAGCGUGGGGAGCAAACAG
rnacentral:rRNA from 1 species